ACUCCUACGGGAGGCAGCAGUGGGGAAUAUUGCACAAUGGGGGAAACCCUGAUGCAGCCAUGCCGCGUGUGUGAAGAAGGCCUUCGGGUUGUAAAGCACUUUCAGUAGGGAGGAAGGUAGUGUAGUUAACACCUGCAUUAUUUGACGUUACCUACAGAAGAAGCACCGGCUAACUCCGUGCCAGCAGCCGCGGUAAUACGGAGGGUGCGAGCGUUAAUUGGAAUUACUGGGCGUAAAGCGCAUGCAGGCGGCCUGUUAAGUCAGAUGUGAAAGCCCGGGGCUUAACCUCGGAAUUGCAUUUGAAACUGGCAGGCUAGAGUCUUGUAGAGGGGGGUAGAAUUUCAGGUGUAGCGGUGAAAUGCGUAGAGAUCUGAAGGAAUACCAGUGGCGAAGGCGGCCCCCUGGACAAAGACUGACGCUCAGAUGCGAAAGCGUGGGGAGCAAACAGGAUUAGAUACCCUGGUAGCACAGAG
rnacentral:rRNA from 1 species